CGUUUCGCGUAUCCCUUCCAAGUACUUGCACACCGCGAAUACUUGCCAUGUCGUGUGAGUGGGUUACUCGUACGAUUAUUUGUCACUCGUUGCCACUCGUUCGUCUUCCAACUGUUGUCGGUAAAGUUUACGUUGACGCCUGCGCCUUGGAAACUAAUCCCGAACUUACUCUGAAUACGUUCAUGUUGUACUGCACGAACACAAGUUCUUAACAUGCAUUAAAAAGUGCAUAAACAUGUCAAAAUAAGCAUAUUAAGGGCCAAGUUUUGUUACUCGCGUGGUUUUUGAGGUCGCUGAAGAUGACUAUGGUCGCGUUCACCAGAAUAAUCCGAGUGCAAUCCGAUUAAUUUGCGCUGAAACGCUGACAGUUUUUUUACUAGUGAACGACUGACGUUUGACAUUCGAUUGAGAGUGUUCUGUGUUCCAUUUGUUUAUGUUUUUAUUCUUUGUUUAUAUAAUUUAUAACCUAGUCUAUUAGACAGUUUUGUUUUUAAAUAAAACUGAAACUGUCUAAACUAAAAUGGAUAAUAUUCUUGAAGAACUUUUGUUUGGGGACGAAAUUAGCAAAUGCCGUUAUACAUUUAGCAGAUGUACCUACCUCAAAUUAUUCCAGAAGGAUGAGAUGAAAUUAAAUAUAUAUAAACCAUAAUUCAAUAUCCAAUUUAGAGAACAUUUUCGUAUGUCCAGAACUACUUUCCAGGAACUAUUUAAUUGUAUUGGUCAUAUCCACCAAUUUGAAAACCGAAUAAUUCUAUUGGAAAAAAUUAAUGUUUAUGAUGUGGAUGCUAAGUAAACCAGAGAAUUUGUUGCUGGGGAUAUGUUUGGUUUGCCAAAGAGCUCUGGACAUAAGAUUUUCACCCAAAUAAUAUAGAAUUACAAAAAAUUGGAAAUAACUAAUCUUGAAUAUCAAUGUGUAUAUUGAGUUUAAUUUUAUUGUAAAUAUUCUAUAAUAUAAUUUUAUUGUAAAUAUUGUAUUAACACAUUUGUGGACACAUCUUCAUAUGCAGACAGUAAUUUCCCUUUGUAAGUACAUGCAUAUAUAGUCGUAUCUGCGAAUGGGUUAAUUGUAAAUCGUAAUCAAUAAAAAUUUUUUGUGAAUCAAUAAAAAACUGGUUUGUUUGAAAAUAAAUGUAGUACAAAUGUG